ACGAACGCUGGCGGCGUGCUUAACACCUGCCAGUCGCACGGAAAGGCCCUUCUUUUGUGGGGUGCUCGAGUGGCGAACGGGUGAGUAACACGUGAGUAACCUGCCCUUGACUUUGGGAUAACUUCAGGAAACUGGGGCUAAUACCGGAUAGGAGCUCCUGCUGCAUGGUGGGGGUUGGAAAGUUUCGGCGGUUGGGGAUGGACUCGCGGCUUAUCAGCUUGUUGGUGGGGUAGUGGCUUACCAAGGCUUUGACGGGUAGCCGGCCUGAGAGGGUGACCGGCCACAUUGGGACUGAGAUACGGCCCAGACUCCUACGGGAGGCAGCAGUGGGGAAUAUUGCACAAUGGGCGGAAGCCUGAUGCAGCAACGCCGCGUGCGGGAUGACGGCCUUCGGGUUGUAAACCGCUUUCGCCUGUGACGAAGCGUGAGUGACGGUAAUGGGUAAAGAAGCACCGGCUAACUACGUG
rnacentral:rRNA from 1 species